rnacentral:lncRNA from 1 species
CCAGCAGCUCAGUGUAGAACAAAGAAGCUUUUUCUUAUUCUUGACACAAAAGCAUAGGUCUUCCGAAGCAUGUAUGCCAGUAUUCAAUUUGCUAACAUCGUACAGAAACUAAUAAUGCAGGUAACAGGUGCAUGAAAAAAUAAAAAUGGAACUUCUAGCUGCAGUUACUUUUAGGGCUUGGAAUGUGAGUGAGCAUCCGUCCUUUGCCCUUCGGGGUCCGGAAUUCCGGGAUGCAGCGCUGGCCUGCUCCUUCCAAAUCCAGUUUCCUUUUGGCCUGGGAAUCCGAGACAGAGAAAGAAAGAAAAGCCAAGCCAUGGUAAGAUUAUAGACUCAAAAUGAGGAGGAAGAAAUUGGUUAUUAAUAGUUUUGUAUCUCUCAUUAAUACAGAAAGGAGGACUAUAAGGAUGAUGGGAUUCCCCUAUGGGAAAAGUUACAGUGUUCCAUUUAGGGGGAAAAGAGACAUCUCAAUGGAGGAGGCCAGCAUCCCAAAGAUUAGACCAAAGCUAACCCACCUUCCAAUGAAGUCAAAAGUGCAAAAGGAGGGAGGGGUUUAAACAGCGCCUAACAUGCCCACUGGGAGAAAAAGGGGCUCUUAAAGCAAUGUGGAGUACAGGCACACAGAAUGAAAGGAAAAGCAGGUGAAGCUCUCAUGGUAGAGAAUGUAUCUAGAGAAGUUGGCAGUCAAUGGACCACAGCUUAGAAGCUUAAACAUCCUUCUGAGAAAACUCCUCAAAUCCUUCAGCCAAUAUACCCAGUGAUCAUGCUGGCUGGAGAUUUAGGAUACUCAAACCACAUGGGAAAAAAAGUUCUGAAAUUUCAACCCUACUAAAACCCAAAUACGUGCUGAGGUUCUUUACCAAGACCUCAAAAAUGUAGGAGAAAAAUGCAUUGAGUGCAAUCACUGCUUAUAUCAAAGCCCACACCUGUCAGAGAGCAUCAAAAGCACACCAGAGAAGCUACAGAGAUCUGAGAUUCAAUUCAGCCCUUGGGAGGACAGCAGAAACGAACGAUUCACUGGUCUUGAGAGGUAGAGCGAUGACUCCAGGCUUUCCUGCCAGUUCUAAGUAUUUGG